UACAGAGGGUGCGAGCGUUGUUCGGAAUUAUUGGGCGUAAAGCGCUUGUAGGCGGCAUGUCAAGUCGCGUGUGAAAUCCCCAGGCUUAACCUGGGAAGUGCGCGCGAAACUGACGAGCUUGAGUGCCGGAGAGGGUCGCGGAAUUCCCGGUGUAGAGGUGAAAUUCGUAGAGAUCGGGAGGAACACCAGUGGCGAAGGCGACUGUCUGGCUGACAACUGACGCUGAGACUCGAAAGCAUGGGGAGCAAACAGG
rnacentral:rRNA from 1 species